CACCGCGGUUAUACGAGAGGCUCAAGCUGACAGUCCGCGGCGUAAAGAGUGGUUAAUCUACUCCCAAAAACUAAAGCCGAACAUCUCCAAAGUUGUUAAACACAUUCGAAGAAAUGAAGAUCACCCACGAAAGUGGCUUUAUACCCUUUGAGUCCACGAAAGCUAGGGAA
rnacentral:rRNA from 1 species